AAUCCAUGCAUCAGACAUUUUUUAAUUAAAUCUUUAAAUCAUUCCCAAGCUUCAUAUAAUGUUUCAUCCUCUAAUUGCCAAAAAGAAGUGAUGUCAUUUCUAAGCUU
rfam:Gossypium raimondii chromosome 10, whole genome shotgun sequence.